rnacentral:rRNA from 1 species
UACGAAGGGUGCGAGCGUUGUUCGGAAUUACUGGGCGUAAAGGGCGCGUAGGCGGCCUGUUAAGUCGAACGUGAAAUCCCCGGGCUCAACCCGGGAACUGCGUCCGAUACUGGCAGGCUUGAAUCCGGGAGAGGGAUGUGGAAUUCCAGGUGUAGCGGUGAAAUGCGUAGAUAUCUGGAGGAACACCGGUGGCGAAGGCGACAUCCUGGACCGGUAUUGACGCUGAGGCGCGAAAGCCAGGGGAGCAAACGGG